CUAUUAUGAAGGACAAACACACUUCUGGAGAUCAGGAUUUGUCUCCAGGAUGCAGUCUGCAUCAUGGAAGAGAGAAGAGGAUUACAACAGGAACAUGCAAAUAUGAUGCCUGUUUUCUCACACUGGAUCCAAACACAACAAACACUCGUCUCAUUCUGUCCGAGGAGAACAGAAAGGUGACACGAGUGAGGGAGAAACAGUGGUAUCCUGAUCAUCCAGACAGAUUUGACGAUGUGUCUCAGGUGUUGUGCAGAGAGAGUGUGUGUGGACGCUGUUACUGGGAGAUUGACUGGAGUGGAGAUGGUGUGGAAAUAUCAGUGUCAUAUAAGAGUAUUAGAAGGAAGGGACGAGGUUAUGAGAGUUGGUUUGGAUGUAAUGCUCAGUCCUGGAGUUUGAUCUGCUCUUCCUCCAGUUUCUCAUUCAUACACGAUAACACACAGACUGGUCUCUCUGUAGAGCCGAUCAGCAGUAGAAUAGGAGUGUUUGUGGAUCACAAUGCAGGAACUCUGAUCUUCUACAACAUCUAUAGAGAUAAAACGAGUCUUAUCCACUCAGUCCAGACCACAUUCACUGAGCCGCUCUAUCCUGGGUUUAGGGUUCAUUAUGGAUCAUCAGUAAAACUGUGCUAAAGACUGAGAGACUGACAAGAGAUCUACUCAUAAUCCUCUGCUCUGCAGGAUUAGCCAGUAGAAGUAUGAUUACUAAAAACUCAUUUGUUUUAUGUUGCUUUUACAAAUGUAUUGUAAACUUGCCUCUUUUUUAUUUCUGUUUUCUUUUAUAUUGUAUUC